GAACAACUUGCCCAACCCAUUGUGGGUUAUUUGGAGGAAGGAACAUCAAAGAUGGGCAUUAGUGCAAGUAGCAGGAUUUACUACCAGUGGCGCUAUGAAAAGCACUUGCGGGGGAUCUGGUCUGAUCUGGACAUCUUUGAGA